AGUGAACGCUGGCGGUAGGCCUAACACAUGCAAGUCGAACGGCAGCACAGUAAGAGCUUGCUCUUACGGGUGGCGAGUGGCGGACGGGUGAGGAAUACAUCGGAAUCUACUUUUUCGUGGGGGAUAACGUAGGGAAACUUACGCUAAUACCGCAUACGUCCUACGGGUGAAAGCAGUGGAUCUUCGGACCUUGCGCGUUUGAAUGAGCCGAUGUCGGAUUAGCUUGUUGGCGGGGUAACGGCCCACCAAGGCGACGAUCCGUAGCUGGUCUGAGAGGAUGAUCAGCCACACUGGAACUGAGACACGGUCCAGACUCCUACGGGAGGCAGCAGUGGGGAAUAUUGGACAAUGGGCGAAAGCCUGAUCCAGCCAUACCGCGUGAGUGAAGAAGGCCUUCGGGUUGUAAAGCCCUUUUGUUGGGAAAGAAAAGCAGCAGGUUAAUACCCCGCUGUUCUGACGGUACCCAAAGAAUAAGCACCGGCUAACUUCGUG
rnacentral:rRNA from 1 species